rnacentral:rRNA from 1 species
UACGUAGGGUGCGAGCGUUAAUCGGAAUUACUGGGCGUAAAGCGUGCGCAGGCGGUUUUGUAAGCCAGGUGUGAAAUCCCCGGGCUUAACCUGGGAAUGGCAUUUGGGACUGCAAGGCUGGAGUGCGGCAGAGGAGACUGGAAUUCCUGGUGUAGCGGUGAAAUGCGUAGAUAAUCUGGAGGAAUACCGGUGGCGAAGGCGGCAUCCUGGACCAUAACUGACGCUGAGGAGCGAAAGCGUGGGGAGCGAACAGG